GCAAGUCGAGCGGAGAUUAAGAAGCUUGCUUCUUAAUCUUAGCGGCGGACGGGUGAGUAACGCGUGGGUAACCUGCCCUAUACACACGGAUAACAUAUCGAAAGAUAUGCUAAUACGAGAUAAUACAUUUUUAAGGCAUCUUAGAAAUGUCAAAGAUUUUAUCGGUGUAGGAUGGACCCGCGUCCCAUUAGCUAGUUGGUGAGGUAAAAGCUUACCAAGCCAACGAUGGGUAGCCGGCCUGAGAGGGUGAAC
rnacentral:rRNA from 1 species